AGAGUUUGAUCAUGGCUCAGAACGAACGUUGGCGGCGUGCUUAACACAUGCAAGUCGAACGAGAAAGUUCCUUCGGGAAUGAGUAAAGUGGCGCACGGGUGAGUAACACGUAGAUAAUCUGUCCAGGUGUUCGGGAUAGCCCUUCGAAAGGGGGAUUAAUACCGGAUACGUUGGUUUGUCAUAAGACGAAUCAAGAAAGGUGGCCUCUAUUUAUAAGCUAUCGCAUUUGGAGGAGUCUGCGUACCAUUAGUUUGUUGGUGGGGUAAUGGCCUACCAAGACUUCGAUGGUUAGCGGGUCUGAGAGGAUGAUCCGUCACACUGGCACUGAAACACGGGCCAGACUCCUACGGGAGGCAGCAGUGAGGAAUAUUGCGCAAUGGGGGAAACCCUGACGCAGCGACGCCGCGCGGGUGAGGAAGGCUUUCGGGUCGUAAAGCCCUGUCAGGUGGGAAGAAAUGGUUAUAAGUUAAUAACUUAUAGCUUGACG
rnacentral:rRNA from 1 species